rnacentral:rRNA from 1 species
UACGUAGGGUGCGAGCGUUGUCCGGAAUUACUGGGCGUAAAGAGCUCGUAGGUGGUUUGUCGCGUUGUCCGUGAAAUUCCCUGGCUUAACUGGGGGGCGUGCGGGCGAUACGGGGCAGACUGGAGUACUGCAGGGGAGACUGGAAUUCCUGGUGUAGCGGUGGAAUGCGCAGAUAUCAGGAGGAACACCGGUGGGCGAAGGCGGGGUCUCUGGGCAGUAAC